rnacentral:lncRNA from 14 species
UCUGAACAACAGCAGAUCUUGCAGUGAGACCUUCAAAGUACCUGUGUGAUGAAGGAAUUAACAGCUUCUUUAGAAAAGAGUCUUAUGUAAUUUGAGGUCUGUUAUCUCUUUGAUAGUCAAUAAGACUUACCUGCUUCUGAAACUUUUAGUCAUUUCUUUUUAAGUGGAGACAAUUUUCUGUAGCCAACAUUUCAGUUUUCCUAAACAAGUCAUUCCAAGAAGAUUUCUAAAUGAGUUGGAAACAAAGGAUCUCAGGGAGAGGAAGAAGAAUGGAAGAGUUCACUAAGAACAUCGCAUAGAUGCCUGGGAGAAAGUGCAUUUACAUCUACCAGAAUCAGACCAAAGUGACUUCCUCCUUCACACAUCUUGCUAAUGGUUUUGGCUUUGAUACAGAGUUGAAGAAUUGAACAGGAACCAUUUGAAAAUUAUGCGUAAUGCAGCAUAAACAGUGCCAUCUUUGAACGAAAAAGAUUUCAUCAGUUUUAAGGUUUUUCUGUUUGAACAGUGUCAGGAUGCUAUGGAGAAUAAAUAAGUAGCAAACAAAAAGAUAAGUUUAUGC